CGGGGAAACCGACAAAAGGUAUCCAGCUGCCGGGAACAACGAGCCACGCCAACUGCGUAUCAGCCAAUGGGGAGAAGCCAACUCGCCGACACCAGUACCGGGAUCACGAGGUGGAUCCGGAGCCACUGCAGGACCGGUUAGGGGGUCUACUAUCACCGAUUCUUCCUCAUGAGAUCACUGUGAAAUACUAUAAGGCUGCAUCAGACACAUCUUGCAGAGAAAGGUGUGUCUUGAAUGCUGAUUGGGAGAGAGAUGCAGGCAAAGUCACCGUUAAUGGGAAGUCACCUCCUCUGGUGUCUCAUAUCCUUAAAUCGCUGUGAGGGAGGACAAGCUGCGUCAGUUUCCUCUGUAGAGCUGACACGAGACUUCACACACACGCUGAGCCUGCCCAGACAAGACAACCCCCUAGCACCUCAUCCAGGGCAAGAAGCUCCAUGUCUGUGUGGUCAGGAGUCCAGACCCAUCGAGCCCACUGAACAACCACAUUUUCCUCUGUCACAUGGACAGUGGUAAGUCCAUCAAGCCAGGAUGGCUACAGGGAUCACAAACCAGUUCUGAGACCCACUGCCAAUGUCUCAGAUCUCAGCUCAAACCGAGAGCCCCAAUCCCCACUGUGAGCGCAGCCCUGCAGGGGGAAGGUUGCCGGGGCAGCUCAGAGAAAGAAGCAUCACUGUGGGGUGUGUGGGCAUCUGCUGCUGGCUGGGUGUCUUGGCUGUCUUCUACCCGCUGAUUGCCUUGGGAGUUGUAUAUGGCAGAUAUUGUGACUGGAGAGUGCUAUAAUGUGUGGGGCAAAGAAAUGGACAUGGAUGACCCAUGUGUAUUAGAGAAUGUGAACUUAAAGGAAUGUACUAGUAGUUGUCCAUGUUUUAUCAAAUUAUUUAUGAAUUACGUAUACAUUUCUGAUAUUUUUCAUAGCAUAUCAUAUGAUAGUUUUUAGACUCAUUUCUUAUCUUUCACAUACUGUAUGAAAAAGAACUUGCAGAGAAGUUGAAUUUGCUUGAGAGGCAAUCCAUUGCAAUGCACACUUCACUGCCUUUAUUUUAAGACGCACAUUUGAAGUACCUACACCUACUGCAGUUGGGAGCGGGGACAGUAUUCAAAAUCUCUGCUUGAGGUGUAAGCAAGCAAGCAAGCAAGCAAGCAAAGCCUUAUUUCAUUCCAGGUGGAAGCACAAUGUGCUGUAUAAAGCCUGAGCUACCACUGAAAUUGCAACCACAAAAACUAUAUUUUCAAGGAACCCCCAGCAUUCAAGAAUUAAUAGUGGCAGUCCAUUAUUAUUGCAUUCACCAGUUUUCUUACUGGAAAAAGGAAACCUCGAAGACAAACAGUGACACCAACUGACCAAUACACGACAUGAAUGUGUUUAUUGCAUUACUGCAAUGAAGCAGUACACUGUAUAAAAACAAUGUAUUUAGUAAGUCUGUGAGGUGAGUGAUUUUUGUGGAAUACUAAAAAUCAAACCAGUUGCUUUGUGAAUCUUCAUCUGAAUAGAACAUGCACAGAAUGCUUUGAAAAACUGACACAAUCAGGAAAUUACUGGGAUAAAACCAAAGGCUUUAUCCUACCAUGCAGUGGUACACCUGCUUGUCACGUGAAAGCCAAGUGAGAAAAUAAAUUUACCUUGUCAGCAAUACUGAUGUUCUAAAGAACCCCUUUGGUGCCAUUCAUACUAUGUCUGAUUCACUAUCAUCUGUGUGAAGAGUAACUAUAAAUUGUAUAGCACUCCUAAAAAUGUACGCUUUAAUGUCAUGUGCGCCACCUUGUGGCAUGAUAGUAAAGUGCUUGUAAUGAAGUUCAAGAAUAUGAAGUCAAUUUGCUUUUUACAUAACCUCUAGUUAACUGUGUACAUGCUGCUAUUUAAUCCAAAACUGCCUAAUAUUCAACUAUAACCGUCAGAUCAACAUAAUUUAAUUUAGUGUUCACACCCAGUGUUGAAAACAAUAACCAUGUACAUUUAAUCAAAAACUAUAGUUGAGCAAUUUAUGUCACUUGAGAAUUUCCAUUUUAAGGUACUUUUUAUUUCUACUCCUCUAUAUUUUGGAGAGAAAUAUUGUUGUUCUUACUAUGCAGCAUUUUUUGUCAGCUAUAGUUACUAGUUACUUUGCACCUUCCAGUAUCAGAGUAUUUUUGAUGCUGUUUUUUGGUACUUUUACUUAAGUAAAGGAACUGAUUCCUUCAUUCAUCAGUGACCUCACCAAAGAAAAGUGACCAAAAAAAAAAAAAAUCAGUCUGCAUUGUGGAUCAAUGUUAAAGCCUGUUAUUCAUUGCAAACAUUUAUUACAUUUUUUAUGAUGCAAACAACAGCAAGUCCCACCCUUGUUGGAACAGCUCAUCACGUAGUCAUGAGGGAAUGAAAGAGACACAAAGGGACAGGGACAGAAAAAGUGUGUAUUACGCGCAAUUCCAUUGUUUCCUUUAAAAAAACAUGACAAUCAGCUCUCAUUGUAAAUUUGGCAUCUUCUUUCCUACUGUUGUACUCUCUGGAAUAAUGGUCAUUAAAAAUCAAAAGAACAAGGCAUGCAUAAUAGUUUCUGGUAAUGCACAUAGAUCAAAGGAUACCACUUAUAAAUACAAAAUCCAUGUACGAUGUUCGUGUACAUUUCAUAUAUACAUGGUCCCUUUCUUAGAGGUGUCAUAGGUCUAUCUACCUGCUCCCACUAUGGGAUUGUGUCCUCUGUUAUCUACGCUUGGUCACUAGAUUCACCCUGUAAAAAGGUCUGCGCUGCAAAUUACAUCUGUAGGAUGAACAAUUAAUAUCAACGACUACUAGAUGUUACAACCAUCGGUUUAUUCCUCCCUUCAUCUCUUACUGCAUGUUAUUAUCAAGCUAUUUACUCAAAAGCUUCAUUUACUUAAAUAGUUUUCUUUGCAUCAACUGACCAUUGUGCUAUCUACAUGAUUCCAUCAAACCUCGCUGGGGUUAUAGCCAGUAUUAUUUUUCUAUUAAAAUUCUCCUCCCAUUGCUUUACUACCACCCCAUGCUUCUCUUUAAAAAAGGGAGCCCACAGUUAACGUAGAUCCAUUCAAUGCUACUGUGCCCACAAGAUAUAAGUCUGGAACAAAGUAUUUUAACUUCCAAGUAACCUAAAUAAAUGGAUCACUAAGGUAAAUGCACUGGUCCAUUUUAAUAAAUGAGUGAAACAGCCACACGUCUAUAGUGAGGGCUGUAUACGUGGCCACACAUUUUAUUUAUUGAAAUUAUGUAGAAAAAAAAGGAAAAGAAAACAAAAAACAAAAAAAAGGGACUAACCAAAACGCAGUGAUUAAAUACAAUGUUGAAUGAAUGUCUUUACUGUUAAAAAAAAAAAAAAAGUGUACUGCAA